AUGUUCCAUCUGACCAUCUCUAUUCUUGCAAGCUUUCGACUUCUCAUCUCACAACUAAAUUUAUUUAAUUACAAAUCCAUUUUUUGUAUUGCAGUUCCUUCUAGGCUGAUUGUAUGUCUUUCUGUUGGCAAAAAUGAACAAGUGAGAGAUGCUUUUGACCGUGCUGGAAGAAAUUGCACGGUUACCUCUAGUGACAUAUGGUAUGUAUGGCUUUACUUUUGUUGGCAACAUGGCGAGUUGGUAUCUAUGCAUGGUUGGCUAUGUAUCUUUUGUUGUCAUGUACCAACUUUAUUUGGUCUAUGA
rnacentral:rRNA from 1 species